GUUUGCCAUCACAUUUACUGAAGCAAGCCUAAUACGGUUGGCAACUGAGGGCCUCCCUCUUGGUGCCAUCAGACGCGCAGCCAAACACGCAACCAAGCAGCAAUGCUUUGUCUGUGGCGAGAGGGGGGCUGCCAUCACAUGCUCAGAGACAGGCUGUGAACGAAGCUUCCAUCUGCCCUGUGCCAUGGAUGGGGAAUGUGUCACCCAGCACUUUAGGCAGCGCAGGUGCUACUGCUGGGAGCACCGCCCUCGGCAGGAAAUUCAGGAAGCUCCAGAAGAAGGCACCAUCUGCCUCAUCUGCUUGGAGCCUGUGGGGGACAGCUUGUCCUACCACACCAUGGCGUGCCCAACGUGCCAACAUGCCUGGUUCCACCGGGGCUGCAUCCAGCAACAGGCCUUGAAUGCUGGCGCUUUCUGCUUCUACUGCCCCGGCUGUCGAGACAAAGAUCAGUUCUUUCAAGAAAUGGCCACCAUGGGGAUACAAAUCCCUCACAGAAGACCAAAUUGGAUAGAUGAGCACACGUACGCAUUCCUUCUGGAGAGGCACAGCCGCUGCGAUGCCAGCCAGUGCCUUUACCAUGGAGGCAGAGAGC
rnacentral:lncRNA from 1 species